AUGUCACAGUGAGGGUAUUUCCUAAGCAUCCCCUUAAAUCUCUCCUAACCUUUAUAAGUAGAUUUCCCUUCUAACAUGAAAAAAAAAGGCAAUAUCAUUUCUAGGUCA